rnacentral:rRNA from 1 species
CGUAGGGUGCGAGCGUUGCCCGGAUUUAUUGGGCGUAAAGGGCGCGCAGGCGGCUCGGCACGUCCGUUGUGAAAUCGCCCGGCUCAACUGGGCGGGGUCAGCGGAUACGGUCGAGCUGGAGCAAGCUAGGGGGCAAUGGAAUUCCCGGUGUAGUGGUGGAAUGCGUAGAUAUCGGGAGGAACACCAGUGGCGAAGGCGGUUGCCUGGAGCUUUGCUGACGCUGAGGCGCGAAAGCGUGGGGAGCGAUCCGGAUUAGAUACCCGGGUAGUCCACGCCGUAAACGAUGCGGACUAGGUGUCGGGGGUAUCGACCCCCUCGGCGCCGCAGCUAACGCAUUAAGUCCGCCGCCUGGGGACUACGGCCGCAAGGCUA